rnacentral:rRNA from 1 species
UACGUAGGGUGCAAGCGUUGUCCGGAAUUAUUGGGCGUAAAGAGCUCGUAGGCGGUUUGUUGCGUCGGCUGUGAAAUCCCGAGGCUCGACCUCGGGUCUGCAGUCGAUACGAGCAAACUAGAGUGUUGCAGGGGAGACUGGAAUUCCUGGUGUAGCGGUGAAAUGCGCAGAUAUCAGGAGGAACACCGGUGGCGAAGGCGGGUCUCUGGGCAACUACUGACGCUGAGGAGCGAAAGCGUGGGGAGCGAACAGG